rnacentral:rRNA from 1 species
UAAGGAAUAUUGGACAAUGGUCGCAAGACUGAUCCAGCCAUGCCGCGUGCAGGAAGACGGCCCUAUGGGUUGUAAACUGCUUUUGUACCAGAGAAAACCUAUCUACGUGUAGAUAGCUGAUAGUAUGGUAAGAAUAAGCAUCGGCUAACUUCGUGCCAGCAGCCGCGGUAAGACGAAGGAUGCAAGCGUUAUCCGGAUUCGUUGGGUUUAAAGGGUGCGUAGGCGGGCUUGUAAGUCAGUGGUGAAAUCUCUCAGCUUAACUGAGAAACUGCCAUUGAUACUGCAGGCCUAGAGUAUAGAUGACGUUGGCGGAAUAUGCCAUGUAGUGGUGAAAUACUUAGAUAUUUCAUAGAACACCGAUUGCGAAGGCAGCUAACGAAACUAUAACUGACGCUUAGGCACGAAAGUGCGGGGAUCAAACA